rnacentral:rRNA from 1 species
GUGAGGAAUAUUGGUCAAUGGGCGCGAGCCUGAACCAGCCAAGUAGCGUGCAGGAUGACGGCCCUAUGGGUUGUAAACUGCUUUUAUCAGGGGAUAAAGUGAGGGACGUGUCCCUUUUUGUAGGUACCUGAUGAAUAAGGACCGGCUAAUUCCGUGCCAGCAGCCGCGGUAAUACGGAAGGUCCGGGCGUUAUCCGGAUUUAUUGGGUUUAAAGGGAGCGCAGGCUGAUUGUUAAGCGUGACGUGAAAUGUAGCCGCUCAACGGCUGAACUGCGUCGCGAACUGGCAGUCUUGAGUGAGUACGACGUCAGCGGAAUUCGUGGUGUAGCGGUGAAAUGCUUAGAUAUCACGAAGAACCCCGAUUGCGAAGGCAGCUGACGAGUCCUUUACUGACGCUAAAGCUCGAAGGUGCGGGUAUCGAACAGGAUUAGAAACCCUAGUAGUCC